AAUGGCCAAUAGGGUUUCAGUUCAACUUAUUUAUUUUCUUCCUCCUUUCUCUCUUAGUACAGGAAUUUUCUGAAGGAUCAUCGUUCAUCUUAGUAGCCUAGAAGGCAUGUUGAUUGUCCCAUAGAAGAUGGAACUCAAUGGUAGCAGUUCAAGUGCCCACCAGAAAUGUUCUUCGGAGGGAUCACGAGAUGCCAG